rnacentral:tRNA from 2 species
GACACUAUGGCCGAGUGGUUAAGGCGACAGACUCGAAUCCAUCAAUGGGACGGUUUAGAUCUCCUGGAUGCACGUGAUCUGUUGGGUUCGCCCGCACAGGUUCAAAUCCUGUUGGUGUCG